AUGCUUGUGCUGCUCAGCUGUCAUUGCAUCCUGCAAGGCACUGACACUCAUUUCCAGCCCUGGAUUCCCUGCAGCAGCAGAAGCCACAAAGUCCUAUUGCAGAAGAGGAUAAAUCCCUCCCAACCUUACUGGCCAGGAUGCUCCAGGUCCAUGCACAUCACUCAGCAAUACACACAACAAAUCACUCCCCAUGACUUGCUGCCACUUCCAAAGACACACACCCAGACAGUAUCCCAUGGGAGAGGAUUUCAGUUUCCAACAGCUUGCAGAAAGCAACAGAGCUGAAAGAAGUAAAGAAACUACAGCAGAAACAGGACUUCCUAAGAUGCUACAUACUUCUUCUUUUAACUUGAAGCUGUUUCCUGGAAGAAGAGUGGACUUUACACAAAAGAACUGCAGUAUUGUUUUAAGUACCAGCUUCAUUGGUUGAUCUGCUGAAUGCCACUCAACAAACCUUUGCAACACAUUAAAAACAAGAGAAAAAUCAGAGAAAGAGGCAAAACAGCUAUUGCCAGAGCUAGUCUGCAAACACAAUCUGUCCCCCUCAGCACCAACAAACAAUGGGGAUACUUCUACAGAAUCCCUCUUAUGAAACACUUUCACAAUUAACCACUGGGAAACACAACUGAGAAUUUCUGCUGUUUGUGGCACAUUGGGGUGAGUAGAAGCAACUCUUUCCUUGCUUUCAUUUCUGUAAAUGAAAAACCAAUAUCCUUACUGCCUGAUGCUUUCUGUUUUGGUUCUGUUUGUUUGGUGGCCAAAGCCACCAGGAUCUCCACAGGUCCCUUUUGGGGUGCAGAGGCAGCAGCAUGCAGGGCUGCUUCUCGCUGAAAAGAGGGAGAGUUGCAAAGGUUCCUACUGCAAAACCCACCCAUCAAAUGGCUUUUAUCCAUACAAACAACAGGAUGGUAAUUUUGGAAAAGGGGUAUUAGAAAAAAAAAAAAUCACUAAGAAGCUAUGAGGACAAGAAAUAACAGUUAUCUACAUGUGGGAAAAUUAUUUAGCAUCCUGUGAAGAUGGAAAUACUGGGGUAGAUUUAUUCUGUAACUCCUGCAGUCACUCACACAGAUUUGCACUAAUUCAUCAAGCUGUCAUGGUUUUGCAGUGACAAGAACAGGGCAGUC
rnacentral:lncRNA from 1 species